GUUCAGUCAUGGCUCCAGUUGAACGCUGGCGGGAUGCUUUACACAUGCAAGUCGAACAGCGGCACGGACUUCGGUCUGGUGGCGAGUGGCGAACUGGUGAGUAAUGUAUCGGAACGUGCCUAGUAGCGGGGGAUAACUACGCGAAAGCGUAGCUAAUACGCCGCCCUUCGGAAAGCAUGGGGACCUUCCGGGCCUCGCACUAUUAAACAGCCGAUAUCGGAUUAGCUAGUUGGUGGGAGUAACGGCUCACCAAGGCGACGAUCCGUAGCUGGUUUGAAGGACGACCAGCCACACUGGGACUGAGACACGGCCCAGACUCUACGGGGAGGCAGCAGUGAAAUUUUGGACAAUGAGGGGAAACCCUGAUCCAGCCAUCCGCGUGUGCGAUGAAGGCCUUCGGGUUGUAAAGCACUGGCAGGAAAGAAACGGCACGGGAUAAUACCCGUGCAACUGACGUACCUGCAGAAUAAAGCACCGGCUAACUACGUACCCGCUUGUAGCCGCGGUAAUACGUAAGUGCAAGCGUUAAUCAGGUCUGGGCGUAAAGCGUGCGCAGGCGGUUCGGAAGAAAGAUGAAAUCAGAGCUUAACUUUGGAACUGCAUUUUAACUACCGAGCUAGAGUGUCAGAGGAGGUGGAAUUCCGCGUGUAGCAGUGAAAUGCGUAGAUAUGCGGAGGAACACCGAUGGCGAAGGCAGCCUCCUGGGAUAACACUGACGCUCAUGCACGAAGCGUGAGGCCGGCAGGGUCGAUACCUGACUAGUCCCACGCCUAGAAAGCGAUGUCAACUAGCUAAGUUUGGGGCCUUCCGGAGCGCUGACCAGUAGCUAACGCGUGAAGUUGACCGCCUGGGAGUACGGUCGCAAGAUUAAAACUCAAAGGAAUUGACGGGGACCCGCACAAGCGGUGGAUGAUGUGGAUUAAUUCGAUGCAACGCGAAAAACCUUACCUACCCUUGACAUGUCUGGAAUCCCGAAGAGAUUUGAGGUGCUCGCAAGAGAACCGGAACACAGGUGCUGCAUGGCUGUCGUCAGCUCGUGUCGUGAGAUGUUGGGUUAAGUCCCGCAACGAGCGCAACCCUUGUCGUGGUUGCUUUGAAGGGCACUCUAAUGAGACGCGGUGACAAACCGGAGGAAGGUGGGGAUGACGUCAAGUCCUCCAUGGCCCUUAUGGGUAGGGCUUCACACGUCAUACAAUGGUCGGGACAGAGGGUCGCCAACCCGCGAGAGAGGAGCAAUCCCAAGAAACCCGGUCGUAGUCCGGAUCACAGUCUGCAACUCGACUGCGUGAAGUCGGAAUCGCUAGUAAUCGCGGAUCAGCAUGUCGCGGUGAAUACGUUCCCGGGUCUUGUACACACCGCCCGUCACACCAUGGGAGUGGGUUUUACCAGAAGUGAUUCAACCUAACCGUAAGGAGGCGAUUACCACAUUGGGAUUCAUGACUGGGGUGAAGUCGUAACAAGGUAA
rnacentral:rRNA from 1 species